GUCAUUCAGAAAACUUGCGCGAAAAAAUACUCAACCAGUGCAGAGCUCUUCCGGUACUCCUCUAGGACAAGUCCAGAAGGAAUAACAUAAAAGCGAAAACUGGUAAAGUAUUUUUUCUUUUCUUUGUUUCUUGGCUAGAAGACCAUGUAAUUUGAGUUUGUUGUCUAUAUCCUCAAAUGCUUUGUAAUGUCUUGCGUACCUUCCUGGUGCAAUUUUCACAUUGAGUACUUGGGCACACA
rnacentral:lncRNA from 1 species